AUUGAACGCUGGCGGCAGGCUUAACACAUGCAAGUCGAACGGUAACAUGAAGAAGCUUGCUUCUUUGAUGACGAGUGGCGGACGGGUGAGUAAUGCUUGGGAAUCUAGCUUAUGGAGGGGGAUAACUACGGGAAACUGUAGCUAAUACCGCGUAGAAUCGAGAGAUGAAAGUGUGGGACCUUCGGGCCACAUGCCAUAGGAUGAGCCCAAGUGGGAUUAGGUAGUUGGUGAGGUAAAGGCUCACCAAGCCGACGAUCUCUAGCUGGUCUGAGAGGAUGACCAGCCACACUGGGACUGAGACACGGCCCAGACUCCUACGGGAGGCAGCAGUGGGGAAUAUUGCGCAAUGGGGGCAACCCUGACGCAGCCAUGCCGCGUGAAUGAAGAAGGCCUUCGGGUUGUAAAGUUCUUUCGGUAGCGAGGAAGGCAUUUAGUUUAAUAGACUAGGUGAUUGACGUAA
rnacentral:rRNA from 1 species